UGUUGUUCUGCAUGAAGUGUACACGACAACAUUAGGUAAACAAGUACCACCUUUGACGUGUUGUUCUGCAUGAACGUGUACACGACAACAUUAGGUAAACAAGUACCACCUUUGACGUGUUGUUCUGCAUGAACGUGUACACGACAACAUUAGGUAAACAAGUACCACCUUUGACGUGUUGUUCUGCAUGAAAGUGUACACGACAACAUUAGGUAAACAAGUACCACCUUUGACGUGUUGUUCUGCAUGAAGGUGUACACGACAACAUUAGGUAAACAAGUACCACCUUUGACGUGUUGUUCUGCAUGAAGGUGUACACGACAACAUUAGGUAAACAAGUACCACCUUUGACGUGUUGUUCUGCAUGAACGUGUACACGACAACAUUAGGUAAACAAGUACCACCUUUGACGUGUUGUUCUGCAUGCAGAUGGUCUCCGAAUAGUCUAAAACCUUCCCCUGUUUGGACAUUCAUUGAGCUAACCUGGAGUCCAUGAGGCAGUAGGCUGAGAUUGUGCUUCAUGUGUCUGUGAUGUAGAUUUAUAUGAUUGCUCAAAAUGAAACUGCAUUGAAAUUUUUUACUUGUUCACUGGACAACCACAGAGGUAAAUUUUGUUUGUCGGAGCUGAUUUUUACUUGUGAGGACAAACGGACAAGUGCUUAUUUCGAACGCUGGCCCCACCAUCAACACCACCAAUAUUUCCAACCAUGGAAAUCAGUCUCGGACCGGAGGUAAAAAAGGGCUUUUCACCACCCCUGCUUCUAAUACAUGUGUGUUACUUGGCUGAUAUCAAUCUAUGAAGCAUUGGUUUGCCAGUAUGCUCCAUAUACAUGAUGUACCAGUAUACAGAAUGAUAAAACUGAAUAAUUUCAUAUAGGAUAGAAGCGGAUUUCAUGACUGAAUAUUGUAAUACAUAGUGCCCUGCAAAAACAUUCCGUGUUGUACAAACAUGAUUAUUUGUACUGUUUUAUCAACUUAUAGUUUCGGAGAAAGUGAUGAUGUUGAACAGUUAAUUUUGAUCAAAGUGCUGUGACAUAAAGUGCAAUAAUAUUAUUUUAAAAAUGCUUUUGUGGAAAGUUGAUUGGUAAAUGCAGCAUUGUAUAUAGUCUUCUUAAAGUUUUUAUUUAACUGUACAGAAAUGUCAUUUGCCUGUAUAAUACAAAUAUCAAUGAUAAUGGCCAUUGGACAAUUUACAAAUCAUCUGCACAAUGCAGCUGCAAUAAAUAAAUUAAAAAUAAAAA